rnacentral:tRNA from 1 species
UCCUGUGUGGUCCAGUGGCUAAGACGCUAUGCUACCAACACAGGGGACCCAGGUUCGAUCCCUGGUCAGGGAA